rnacentral:rRNA from 1 species
UACGGAGGGUGCAAGCGUUAUCCGGAUUUACUGGGUUUAAAGGGUGCGUAGGUGGGUAAGAAAGUCAGUGGUGAAAUCUUCGGGCUUAACCCGGAAACUGCCAUUGAUACUAUUUAUCUUGAAUACUUUGGAGGUAAGCGGAAUAUGUCAUGUAGCGGUGAAAUGCUUAGAUAUGACAUAGAACACCCAUUGCGAAGGCAGCUUACUACACGAUCAUUGACGCUGAGGCACGAAAGCGUGGGGAGCAAACAGG